rnacentral:rRNA from 1 species
AUGGCAAGAACAUUAGAAAGCAAGCAAACCAUCAACGAUCUUGAUCUCCUUUUGACAAGAAAUCUGUCGGUCCUGUAUUACAUUCUUGAUUGGCCCACCAAGCCAAAUUCAAACCUAGUUAUUAUAGGUAUAGCAAACACAAUGGAUCAUCCAGAGAAACUAUUGCCGCGUAUCUCAAGUAGGAUGGGUAUUCAGCGGCUGUGUUUUGGCCCCUAUAAUCAUCGGCAACUGCAGGAAAUCAUAACAAGCCGUCUUAAGGGUAUCGAUGCCUUUGAACAUCAAGCUAUCGAGUUUGCUUCUAGAAAGUGA